GAGCGUCUUGUGAUAGGAAUAAUGGUGACGCUGUUUUCGUCAGCGGGCCCCUUUGUCAGGAGCGAACUGUUGGUCUCUGCGACAAACGCUCUC
rnacentral:tRNA from 1 species